rnacentral:rRNA from 1 species
ACGCCAACAGUUGCCAGCUCGUCCUCCGGGGAUGGUGGGGACACUGUUGGGACCGCCUCUGCUAAAGAGGAGGAAGGAAUGGGCAACGGUAGGUCAGCAUGCCCCGAAUUAUCUGGGCUACACGCGGGCUACAAUGGGUGGGACAAUGGGUAUCGACACCGAAAGGUGAAGGCAAUCUCCUAAACCCAUCCGUAGUUCGGAUUGUGGGCUGCAACUCGCCCACAUGAAGCUGGAAUCUGUAGUAAUCGUGUCUCAAAAUGGCACGGUGAAUAUGUCCCUGCUCCUU